GAUGAACGCUGGCGGCGUGCCUAAUACAUGCAAGUCGAGCGAACAGAUGAGGAGCUUGCUCCUCUGACGUUAGCGGCGGACGGGUGAGUAACACGUGGAUAACCUACCUAUAAGACUGGGAUAACUUCGUGAAACCGGAGCUAAUACCGGAUAAUAUAUUGAACCGCAUGGUUCAAUAGUUAAAGACGGUUUUGCUGUCACUUAUAGAUGGAUCCGCUCCGCAUUAGCUAGUUGGUAAGGUAACGGCUUACAAAGGCAACGAUGCGUAGCCGACCUGAGAGGGUGAUAGGCCAAACGGGAAGUGAGACACGGUCCAGAAGCCUACGGGAGGAAGCAGUAGGGAAUGUUCCGCAAGGGGCGAAAGCUUGACGGAGCAAAGCCGCGUGAGUGAUGAAGGUCUUAGGAUCGUAAAACUCUGUUAUUAGGGAAGAACAAAUGUGUAAGUAACUAUGCACGUCUUGACGGUACCUAAUCAGAAAGCCACGGCUAACUACGUG
rnacentral:rRNA from 1 species